rnacentral:rRNA from 1 species
GAAUGGGGAAACCCACUUGCAUAAGYAAGUAUCCUGUUGUGAAUACAUAGCAACAGGAGGCAAACCGGGGGAACUGAAACAUCUAAGUACCCCGAGGAAGAGAAAUCAACCGAGAUUCCGAAAGUAGCGGCGAGCGAAAUUGGAUUAGCCCUUAAGCUUUUAAUGAKRCAGRYGAAGRSUCUGGAAAGUSYCGCARUAAAGGGUGAUAGCCCCGUARYCGACAYMUCAUAAUCAGUGAAAACGAGUAGGGCGGGACACGUGAUAUCCUGUCUGAAUAUGGGGGGACCAUCCUCCAAGGCUAAAUACUACUGACUGACCGAUAGUGAACCAGUACCGUGAGGGAAAGGCGAAAAGAACCCCUGUGAGGGGAGUGAAAUAGAACCUGAAACCGUGUACGUACAAGCAGUAGGAGCACCUUCGUGGUGUGACUGCGUACCUUUUGUAUAAUGGGUCAGCGACUUAAUUUUAGUAGCAAGGUUAACCGUUUAGGGGAGCCGUAGGGAAACCGAGUCUUAACUGGGCGUACAGUUGCUAGGAUUAGACCCGAAACCAGGUGAUCUAGCCAUGGGCAGGUUGAAGGUUGAGUAACAUCAACUGGAGGACCGAACCGACUAAUGUUGAAAAAUUAGCGGAUGACUUGUGGCUAGGGGUGAAAGGCCAAUCAAACCUGGAGAUAGCUGGUUCUCCCCGAAAGCUAUUUAGGUAGCGCCUCGGACGAAUACUACUGGGGGUAGAGCACUGUUAAGGCUAGGGGGUCAUCCCGACUUACCAACCCUUUGCAAACUCCGAAUACCAGUAAGUACUAUCCGGGAGACACACGGCGGGUGCUAACGUCCGUCGUGGAGAGGGAAACAACCCAGACCGCCAGCUAAGGUCCCAAAGUAUAGCUAAGUGGGAAACGAUGUGGGAAGGCUCAGACAGCCAGGAUGUUGGCUUAGAAGCAGCCAUCAUUUAAAGAAAGCGUAAUAGCUCACUGGUCGAGUCGGCCUGCGCGGAAGAUGUAACGGGGCUAAGCUAUACACCGAAGCUGCGGCUACGUACCUUAGGGUAUGUGGGGUAGGGGAGCGUUCUGUAAGCCGUUGAAGGUGKKCUGUAAGGSMUGCUGGAGGUAUCAGAAGUGCGAAUGCUGACAUGAGUAACGAUAAAGGGAGUGAAAAACUCCCUCGCCGGAAGACCAAGGGUUCCUGUCCAACGUUAAUCGGGGCAGGGUAAGUCGACUCCUAAGGCGAGGCCGAAAGGCGUAGUCGAUGGGAAACGGGUUAAUAUUCCCGUACUUCUUACAAUUGCGAUGGGGGGACGGAGAAGGCUAGGUGGGCCUGGCGACGGUUGUCCAGGUUCAAGUAGUGGCUGCAACUGUUUAUUAAAAACACAGCACUGUGCAAAAUCGUAAGAUGACGUAUACGGUGUGACGCCUGCCCGGUGCCGGAAGGUUAAUUGAUGGGGUUAGACUUCGGUCGAAGCUCUUGAUCGAAGCCCCGGUAAACGGCGGCCGUAACUAUAACGGUCCUAAGGUAGCGAAAUUCCUUGUCGGGUAAGUUCCGACCUGCACGAAUGGCGUAAUGAUGGCCACGCUGUCUCCACCCGAGACUCAGUGAAAUUGAAAUCGCUGUGAAGAUGCAGUGUACCCGCGGCUAGACGGAAAGACCCCGUGAACCUUUACUACAGCUUGGCACUGAACAUUGAACCUACAUGUGUAGGAUAGGUGGGAGACUAUGAAAUUGCGUCGCUAGAUGUGAUGGAGUCGUCCUUGAAAUACCACCCUUGUAGUUUUGAUGUUCUAACGUUGGUCCCUGAAUCGGGAUUACGGACAGUGCCUGGUGGGUAGUUUGACUGGGGCGGUCUCCUCCCAAAGAGUAACGGAGGAGCACGAAGGUGGGCUAAACACGGUUGGACAUCGUGUGGUUAGUGCAAUGGCAUAAGCCCGCUUGACUGCGAGAAUGACAAUUCGAGCAGGUGCGAAAGCAGGUCAUAGUGAUCCGGUGGUUCUGAAUGGAAGGGCCAUCGCUCAACGGAUAAAAGGUACUCCGGGGAUAACAGGCUGAUACCGCCCAAGAGUUCAUAUCGACGGCGGUGUUUGGCACCUCGAUGUCGGCUCAUCACAUCCUGGGGCUGAAGUCGGUCCCAAGGGUAUGGCUGUUCGCCAUUUAAAGUGGUACGCGAGCUGGGUUUAGAACGUCGUGAGACAGUUCGGUCCCUAUCUGCCGUGGGCGUUGGAAAAUUGAAAGGGGCUGCUCCUAGUACGAGAGGACCGGAGUGGACGAACCUCUGGUGUUCGGGUUGUCAUGCCAAUGGCAUUGCCCGGUAGCUAAGUUCGGAAUCGAUAACCGCUGAAAGCAUCUAAGCGGGAAGCGAGCCUUGAGAUGAGUUUUCCCUGGCACUAUAAGUGUCCUAAAGGGUUGUCGUAGACUACGACGUUGAUAGGCAGGGUGUGUAAGUGCUGCGAGGCAUUGAGCUAACCUGUACUAAUUGCCCGUGAGGCUUAACCAUACAACACCCAAGGGGUUU